rnacentral:rRNA from 1 species
AACGAACGCUGGCGGCAUGCCUAACACAUGCAAGUCGAACGAGACCUUCGGGUCUAGUGGCGCACGGGUGCGUAACGCGUGGGAACCUGCCCUUAGGUUCGGAAUAACUCCCCGAAAGGGGUGCUAAUACCGGAUAAUGUCUUCGGACCAAAGAUUUAUCGCCUUUGGAUGGGCCCGCGUUGGAUUAGCUAGUUGGUAGGGUAAAAGCCUACCAAGGCGACGAUCCAUAGCUGGUCUGAGAGGAUGAUCAGCCACACUGGGACUGAGACACGGCCCAGACUCCUACGGGAGGCAGCAGUGGGGAAUAUUGGGCAAUGGGCGAAAGCCUGAUCCAGCAAUGCCGCGUGAGUGAUGAAGGCCUUAGGGUUGUAAAGCUCUUUUACCCGGGAUGAUACUGACAGUACCGGGAGAAUAAGCUCCGGCUAACUCCGUG